GUCUAUUGCACUGUCAUAUAUAACCUCAGACAUAAAUAAAUUACAAAUCUCAGUGGGAAGUGGAUUGAGCUGUGAGCUAACCCCCUGGAGACCGGGGUUCAAGUCCGGUUAAUGUCCUCUGUUGGAAGUCUCCUAUUUAUAUUUCAUGCGAAUUAUAAAGUCAAGUAUAACCAUUGUGAAGACUUUAUACGGGGUCUUGAUGGUGCAUUGAUAAGUUCGGAGGUUAACACUCUGUACAGCUCAGGUUCGGAUACCUGCAAAAACGUCGACAGGGGUACAACUGUCAAUUUUUAUUGGUCAACAUGGAAAAAAACAUGAGGGGUAACUCGUUCGUUUUUUAUCGGUCAUCAUGAAAUAAACAUAAGGGGUAACACUGUCGAUAUUUAUCAAAUGAAACAAGGGGGGUGACACUGUUGUUUUUUUAUUGGUCGUCAUGAAUAAAAACAUAUGAGGUAACACUGUUGUCUUUGUCAAAUAAAAUAUAAGGGGUAACACUGUUGUUUUUCAUCAGUCAUCAUGGGAAAAAACUUCAACGGUAACACUGUCGUUUUUUUAUCUGUCAUCAUGAAAAAACCCAUAAGGGGUAACACUGUCGAAAUGUAUCGAAUAAAACAUAGGGGGUAACAGGGACCAGAACCACUAUUUCUGUAAUGUCUUCUCAUGGGGAAUAAUAACGUUAAUCUUAUCUUAUAAAUACAAGCUCCAGCAGGGAACAAGCGGAGCAUACAGGCGGCUGGUCAGAGAAGAAGUAUUCAUAACACAAUAUAAUGUAGUAGCGUUAUUUAAAUAGCACAGUUCACACAUGUAAUGUUGUUCAGAGAAAUACAUGAAAAAGUAAUAAUAUUAAUAAAAUAAGACAAAUAAAACGAACUAUUAUUAACCAUAAAAGCUAACUUUGUGUUAAAGGAGUGUUCUGUGUCUGUAUCUCUUACACCCUUCUGAUGAUGAUUUGUGUUCCAACUGGUUCAGUGAAUUGGUCCGUGCUCCCAUUCAAACUGGUUCAGUGAACUGGUCCCUGCUCCCAUUCAAACUGGUUCAGUGAACUGUUCCCCAUACUCAGACCCGUCUCCAGACCUGAGUCUUAAGGGGGGCAUAUCAAAUGCAUAGGGGGGCACAAUUAUUAUUAGCCUAGAGUAUGUAUAUUUCCUCUAUUCGCGUAGCACAUAAUCAUCACGUUAAACAUAACCAACAGCAAUAUGACCCCGUAGCCUAGCCUACAACAUCACAUCAUUCCUCAUCAUUUAAAGCAAUACAUUACAUAGAAGCAAUGCUAUGAAUAUAUCCAUAAAACACUGGACUAUACAACAUAUUAGGUGUAAAAGCAGUUAACAGAGAGAUAUGCAUUGCCAUUAGGAUAGGAUAGGAUAUAUUUAUUUGUCAUUGGACAGAAGUACAACGAAAUUCAGUGCACUCACGUACUGGUCUCAUUUAAAAAGGUAACAUAAUAAAUAAUAAAGAAAUAAAGGAAAUACAUUCAUGCCUAAAAAAAAAAAAUAGUAAAAAAAUAGUAUGCCUCAAAAUAGUAGUACAAAUAUGUAAAGUGCUGAGCAUUGCAUUAGAACUUCCUCAUCAACAUAUCCUUCCACUCAGACGUAAACUUGUGAGUUAGGUCCUUUUCAAAAGCAAGCUGAAUCAGCUGGGCCUUGCUUCUGUGCAGCAUACCGCGCCGAUGCUCUGAGGAGACGUUUUUCAACGUGGAAAAUGAGUUUUCACACAUUGGAAGCUCCUAAAGUUAGGGCAAGGGUGUAGGCUGUGAGAACAGUCGGCAUAGCCUGGAGUGCACAGUUGAAUUUGCUGAAUUUGUCAGCUUCAUCAGCUUAUUCCCUUUCAAAAAAAAUAAUAUAUGUUCUUCUUUCAAGCAUGAAUAAAGACACCAAGU
ensembl:lncRNA